rnacentral:lncRNA from 1 species
AGAGAUAAAAGUUAUUUGAACUCUUCCGUUUAUAUUGGAAUCCCGAUUAAACUGAAAUCCAAGAUUGUAUUCAUUAGGAUAAUUCUAAAGUUAAUUGCAAUGUUAUCAAUAAAUAUUGAUUGGAAAACUCAAUUAUCUUUUAAUCAUUUAGGAUACAAACUAUAUGAAUUGAACCUAGUCGUUAUUAAUCAAAGACCGUAAAAACUAAAACAAAUACGUAAUAAAUAUAUUCGAU